UCCCUGGUGGUCCAGUGGUUAGGACUCUACCCUUCCAAUGCAGGGGACUGGGUUUGAUCCCUGGUGGGGGAA
rnacentral:tRNA from 1 species